rnacentral:tRNA from 1 species
AGCCAGCGUGGUUUAAUGGUUUGAGUGUUGGACUAGGAUUCUGGAGACCAGGGUUCAAAUCCCAGCUCGGCUA